rnacentral:antisense_RNA from 1 species
GGGUGCUUGAGGCUAUCUGUCUCAGGCAUUUGCAGGACGGCAGAUAGAGAAAAGCCCCGAGUGAUUUUUCAAUCAACCCGAGGCUUACUAUAUGCCACACACAUAUAGACUGCCUCUUACAGACCGAAAGGUCAAGGAGAAGAGAGCCAUG